ensembl:lncRNA
GUUGUUGCCUAAAUCCUGUACAGUAGGGGUCUCUUGUAAUCCAGUGAUAAUGCAUUUAGAUUAGCUGUCUUUGUAGCCAUUAAUAAUAUCUUUGCUCAUGCUGAUUUGAUAAAUUGCUGACAUUUACUGCUUCAUCAGCAGGUAAUUCCAGAGCAGGUGGGAAGAAAACGAAUCUCCCUCAAACAAAAGAGCCCAUGACAGAUGCUGAGAGAAUUCUGUUCCUCAGGUCUAAGGUGAAAAAAUCAUUCAAGGACCUCAUGAAAUACAGGCAACAGCUGGAAACAUUAGUGCCAGUAGAGGGCAGUAGUGAGCUGAGGAGUCUCCUGCUGAUGAGUCCUGCUGAUCUACAAACUGAACUCAAGAGACAUGAGAAUCUGUGUGCUAAAAUUGCAUCUUGUGCACAUAGAGCAGACACAAACAAGGGCCAUUUCCAAGGGAUCAAACAGACUGGCAGCUCUUAUGAAUUUCUGAAGGCAAUCUUAAGGUAUGCCCCCCCCCCCCACCCCACCCGGGUUUGUUUUUUACUCAUUGUAACUUUAAAAGCUUGUCACAUUACAGAGAUUCAUGUAAUUCUACAGCAACUAGUAGUGGUUUUAUACAGUAGGGUGGGCUGUUUUGACCCUGCACACCCUAGCAAAAGUCUAGCAACUACCUAG